UCUCCUAUAGGUUCAAGUUUCCGCUGCUAUCCACAUUAGAGCCUUCCUGUGAAAUGGAGUAAAAUGAAGAAGCAGUUACUAUUGAUUUAUAUGGAAAAAAUCUUGCAUUUUCCCAGGCCCUGAAAAUAGCUUACCAAAUCAUAGAUUAUGUACCCUGCCCCCCCCCACAAAAUACAAAGAAGCUGCAAAUGCAGUCCUAGUUUCUGGGAAUCUUGCAUGAUACCACUACACCAGCGGCGCUGUUUGCAGUCCUAGUUUCUGGAAGUCAAGUAUGCUGUUGGAGAAAGAGCCAGAUCUACCUCAUCAAAAAGCAAUGCCCUGGAGAACUACAGGGCCUGCGGCUGACUUGCACAUGAAUUUGGUACAGCCUACAGGACAACAGAAGAAAAUGAAAUGAAUUCUCACAGACCUUCUCAGUUCUAGAAUACUGCAAGACAGUGCUGUAAGAAUCUUCUGACUGCAAGAAAACGGGCAAUGAAAACUUCUCACUGACUUGAAGACCUUACUCCUCAGAUCAGAAAUGCUUAUCAUUGUGGAAAAUAACCUGUGGACAAUUAAAUCAUCCCAUUAGAUAAGAGUGAGGGCUCUCCUGCAGCCUGGCUGGGACUAAAGUCUCAGUGAUAGAAUAAAAUGACUGUGGUUGUCAGA